GUGUCAGCCGCCGCGGUAAUACGGAGGGUGCGAGCGUUGUCCGGAAUCACUGGGCGUAAAGGGCGCGUAGGCGGCCUGCUAAGUUGCGGGUGAAAUCCCGGGGCUUAACUCCGGGGCUGCCAGUAAGACUGGCAGGCUAGAGCACGGUAGAGGCAGAUGGAAUUCCCGGUGUAGCGGUGGAAUGCGUAGAGAUCGGGAAGAACACCAGUGGCGAAGGCGAUCUGCUGGGCCGUUGCUGACGCUGAGGCGCGACAGCGUGGGGAGCAAACAGGAUUAGAUACCCUAGUAGUCC
rnacentral:rRNA from 1 species